rnacentral:rRNA from 1 species
UACGAAGGGUGCAAGCGUUACUCGGAAUUACUGGGCGUAAAGCGUGCGUAGGUGGUUCGUUAAGUCUGAUGUGAAAGCCCUGGGCUCAACCUGGGAAUGGCAUUGGAUACUGGCGACCUAGAGUGCGGUAGAGGGGUGUGGAAUUCCCGGUGUAGCAGUGAAAUGCGCAGAUAUCGGGAAGAACACCCGUGGCGAAGGCGGCUCUCUGGGACGGUACUGACGCUGAGACGCGAAAGCGUGGGGAGCGAACAGG